GUUUUGAUGAAUCUCCCCCAUAGUAUCUGGCAGGAUUACAAUGAUUAUUGUCUUCAUACAGACAAUAAGGAUCUGCUGACAAAAUGAGGAACCAAUGAUGUCCAAGCGUUAAUUCUGCAGAGAAGAUGGAAGAAGUUCUAGCGUCUUGACCAGAUGAAGAAAAAAAGAAAAGACAGCAGAGAAGACGUCUCCUUUUCUGUCAGAUUCUUAAAUAGCACAAUCAAAGAUAAUCAUGGCAUCUAAAAGUGUUAAAAAGCAUGCAAGACAGCCAAGUGAUUUCCUAUCUACCUUCGUGCCAUCUGAUCUUCAGUCUCCUUCUCCAGCCUGAGAUGCAAAACUAGAACAAUACUUAUAUGGCAUAGUAUUGAGCAAGUGUGCAUGCGUUCUAUCUAAUCACCUAUAUACUGGGGCUUGUUCAGUAUUUUCCAGCUACUAAGGC